AGAAGGAAACAGAGCCAAGGUCAACUUGCCGGACACCAUAAUCAGUUAAGAUUUGUUGAUAAUAAUCGGCAAGUCAUCCUUGGCUCAAUCUCAUUCUCU
rnacentral:pre_miRNA from 1 species